rnacentral:rRNA from 1 species
ACGGAGGGUGCAAGCGUUAUCCGGAUUUAUUGGGUUUAAAGGGUACGUAGGCGGAAAAUUAAGUCAGUAGUGAAAUCCUGCAGCUUAACUGUAGAACUGUUAUUGAUACUGGUUUUCUUGAAUAUAGUUGAAGUAGGCGGAAUGUGUAAUGUAGCGGUGAAAUGCUUAGAUAUUACACAGAACACCGAUUGCGAAGGCAGCUUACUAAGCUAUGAUUGACGCUGAGGUACGAAAGCGUGGGGAGCGAACAGG